UACGAAGGUGGCAAGCGUUGUUCGGAUUUACUGGGCGUACAGGGAGCGUAGGCGGUUGGGUAAGCCCUCCGUGAAAUCUCCGGGGCUAACCCGGAAAGGGCGGAUGGGACUGCUCGGCUAGAGGAUGGGAUAUGAGCGCGGAAUUCCCGGUGUAGCGGUGAAAUGCGUAGAGAUCGUGAGGAAGGCCGGUGGCGAAGGCGGCGCUCUGGAUCAUUUCUGACGCUGAGGCUCGAAAGCGUGGGGAGCAAACAUG
rnacentral:rRNA from 1 species